rnacentral:misc_RNA from 1 species
ACUAAAGUUUUACAAACGAGAGAGAGAGAGAGAGAGAGAGAGAGAGAGAGAGAGAGAGAGAGAGAGAGAGACUCACACAUACACAUACAGAGAGAGAGAGAAACAGAGAGAAAGAGACAGACAGACGGACAGACAAACAGAUAGCUAUUAAAGAAGGACAAUUAGAGUAUCAAUACAAAAACAUAUCUACGUCAGUAAGAUAUUACACAAAUUUUGCAUACACUCCGAAUCUCCAAUUGGUUAUUUACUUCCCAACAUUAUAUUCCAAAGAAAUGUAGGUAACAUUUUAUUUAAAAUGAAAAAUAAAAUAUAUUUUGGGGAGCCAAGAUUUUUCAUCUAAUGCUUUUAAAAACAUGUUUUUGCUGAGAACUUAAUUCAUUGACACAUCCUGUUACCUAAUAGUUGUUUUUUACUUUAUUAACACCAUUUUUGAUAUGCCUGAACAGGUCCUUUUUGUGUUGUUUUGUUAAUUGUUUAUGUGUACUUUGUUUGGUUUUUUAUCACUUUUGUUCAAGAUAGCUGGAUGGUCAACAAUUUUGCCGUAGGAUUCGCCAUAGAGUCUGACAUAUGGAAUUUAAAAAACCGUCUUUUUGUGAAGAAAUAUAUCAGAUAUGUUGAAUGUAAAGUUUCAAUGUUAUCCUAUAUCUUUAAAUAUAUCUCUUCCUCCAAAGGAUGUUGAUAUAGUCUUAGAUAGUCUCCACCAUCCAGCUCUCUUCGAACAUGACAUUGGAAUUGCAUACACUGCAAUUUUUAAUAAGAAAUUACUUUGAUUUAUAUAUUCUUUUUUGUGAUUUAAUACAACGUUUUACACCAUG